rnacentral:tRNA from 1 species
GAGAGUAUAGCUCAAGUGGUAGAGCACAUGUUUAGCAUGCACAAGGUCCUGGGUUCAAUCCCCAGUACCUCCU